GUAGAGUUUACCUAGAGUUCACCAACCACUAGUUUCACCACCAAGCAGUGGCUAUUCCUGGCCUGCUAUCUCCUUAUGGCUCUUUCAGAAUCACUGUAACCCAGUUCAAGUGCACAGUAACCACUUUAUGAAUGGCUUCAGCAAAUCUCUCUUCAACAUUAUCUUCUCCACUGAUGCUCACUUACCCCCUUUGGCUCUGUGAAGGUAGUCACCAUCACCUGAGCUUUCAUAUGGACAUUUUAUGUAGGGGGAAAAAAAGGACUAUUCUUAUGUUUAAGCCACCCUGUG